GCCGAGGUGGCGAAAUGGCAGACGCGACGGACUUAAAAUUCGUUUCCCGCGAGGGAGUGUGGGUUCGAGUCCCUCCCUCGGCA
rnacentral:tRNA from 1 species